rnacentral:lncRNA from 1 species
AGCUUAUCCACUUAAAAGUAGAUUGUAUAUAUCUCAAUCUUAUGGCACAUAAUCCACAUAGCAUAGUCUAUGCCAUGUUUGUUUUGUCUCAAGUAGUGUCUAAGAUUCAAAGUUGUGUUCUCUUGUUUUUUAUUUUGAUCAUUUACUUGCCUAUUUAAUAACUCUAGUUAGUUGCUUGGAUUAUUAAAUUUAUUCUUGCAAUAAGUGAAAUUGCCCAACACCAACUGGACAGGAAAUCCUGACGAUCUAAGGAGCAGAGUGGCCAUGGUAUUUUUCUAGGCAAAAAAUUGGUUUCUUGGAGUGCUAAAAUGCAGAACGUUGUGUCAUGUUCAAGUACAAAAGUUGAGUUAGAUCACUGGGUUUAGAAACUGCUGAACCCUAUUGGAUUCUAUUGCUUUGAUCUUUAAUCGUGUAUUCCAUGCUCAGACCAAAAUAUCGAAGUGGAUUAUCAUUUUGUGAGAGAAAAAGUCGUGAACAAGGGUGUUCAAGUUUGUCAUAUUUCCACAGAAGAUCAAAUUGCAGGAGUAAGCCUUACGGUUCUAGUGUUUGAGGCACAAGCUGAUGAUUUGCUUGCUGCCAUCAGUUUUGCAGGGGGUGUUAGCAAAUAUCAUGGAGAACAAAACUAAAUAUACGGUAAAAUAGAAACAGAUUUUUGAAACUCGAAUGUUCAAAAUGUGCAAGUGUUGAUCUUUAGUUUGUUAGACUAGUAUGUUUGAUACCCUUGUAAAGCUCAUUUCUGUUGGAUGUACCACUCUAUUGAUAUACAAAUUCUUCAUCGAGUAAGGUACCAUAGAGACUGUGACAUAUUCAAACACAAUAACUUUGUCUCUCGUAUGCCACCUCUCUACCUUUUCCUACAAUUUGCCCUUCAAAUCUGUAUUUUGAUCACUCAAAUGGUCCAAAACUCAAUCAAAUGAAAGGUGUUCAUUACCUACAAUCUAAGUGCCAAGUUUUGUGAAUUUUCUAGCCAAAUAUAUGGUUUUAAGCCCUUUCAAAAUUUGGCAUAUUUCUUGUACGAAUUUAUCAUAUUUUCGGCCCCUUUUUCUCCUUUAUCUCAAUACAAUACAUGUAGAUGUUAUAUGGUGUUGG